GAUGAACGCUAGCGGCAGGCUUAACACAUGCAAGUCGAGGGGUAACAGGGUUUUCGGACCGCUGACGACCGGCGCACGGGUGCGUAACGCGUAUGCAACCUACCUUUAACAGGAGGAUAGCCCCGAGAAAUCGGGAUUAAUACUCCAUAGUAAUGGAUGAUGGCAUCAUCAUUCAUUUAAAGUUCCGGCGGUUAAAGAUGGGCAUGCGUGGCAUUAGUUUGUUGGUGAGGUAACGGCUCACCAAGACUACGAUGCCUAGGGGGUCUGAGAGGAUGAUCCCCCACACUGGUACUGAGACACGGACCAGACUCCUACGGGAGGCAGCAGUGAGGAAUAUUGGUCAAUGGGCGCAAGCCUGAACCAGCCAUGCCGCGUGCAGGAUGACGGCCCUAUGGGUUGUAAACUGCUUUUAUUAAGGAAUAAACCCCCGGUCGUGUAUCGGGGUUGAACGUACUUAAAGAAUAAGCAUCGGCUAACUCCGUGCCAGCAGCCGCGGUAAUACGGAGGAUGCAAGCGUUAUCCGGAUUUAUUGGGUUUAAAGGGUUCGCAGGCGGCGUAUUAAGUCAGUGGUGAAAUCCCUCGGCUCAACCGAGGAACUGCCAUUGAUACUGGUAUGCUAGAGUAUAGUUGGCGUAGGCGGAAUAUUUCAUGUAGCGGUGAAAUGCUUAGAUAUGAAAUAGAACACCGAUCGCGAAGGCA
rnacentral:rRNA from 1 species